rnacentral:rRNA from 1 species
ACGGAAGGCAGCAGUAGGGAAUAUUGCACAAUGGGGGAAACCCUGAUGCAGCGACGCCGCGUGAGUGAUGAAGUAUUUCGGUAUGUAAAGCUCUAUCAGCAGGGAAGAUAAUGACGGUACCUGACUAAGAAGCCCCGGCUAACUACGUGCCAGCAGCCGCGGUAAUACGUAGGGGGCAAGCGUUAUCCGGAUUUACUGGGUGUAAAGGGAGUGUAGGUGGUUUGGCAAGCCAGAUGUGAAAGCCCGGGGCUCAACCCCGCGGACUGCAUUUGGAACUGUUAAACUUGAGUGCAGGAGAGGAAAGUGGAAUUCCUAGUGUAGCGGUGAAAUGCGUAGAUAUUAGGAGGAACACCAGUGGCGAAGGCGGCUUUCUGGACUGUAACUGACACUGAGGCUCGAAAGCGUGGGGAGCAAACAGGAUUAGAUACCCUGGUA